UACCAGCACCCCGAGUGGUCGGGACGAUUAUUGGGCCUGAAGCAUCCGUAGCCGGUACUGCAAGUCUUCCGUUAAAUCCACCUGCUCAACAGUUGGGCUGCGGAGGAUACUACAGCGCUAGGAGGCGGGAGAGGCAAGCGGUACUCAUUGGGUAGGGGUAAAAUCCACUGAUCCAUUGAAGACCACCAGUGGCGAAGGCGGCUUGCCAGAACGCGCUCGACGGUGAGGGAUGAAAGCUGGGGGAGCAAACAGG
rnacentral:rRNA from 1 species